rnacentral:lncRNA from 12 species
GGGGAGGGGGGGCACAGAGCUCAGACGGGGCUGCCCCCACACCCGCGCAGGCACCUGGUUUGGGAGGAUUUGGGGAGGGAAAACGACGAGCCGCCCCGCCGGAGGCCGUACUCACCCGGGCGGCCCCGGGGCUGCGCCUCCUGCUCCGCGCUCGCCGCCCCGAUCCAUCGAUUUGUUCCUGGAAAAACGCGGCGCAUUCUUAUAGCAGCUACGAGUAAUUAAUAUUGCAUUAACCCUAUUAAAAAAAAAAAAAAAAAAAAAAAAAAAAAAAAAAAAAAAAGGGGAAAACCCGCACCCCGGCAAAGCCAUUUAUUAUUAACGCGAGGGUAAUUGGAGAGCCCAGACGCGGAUGUGUGCGUGUCGUGGGGCAAGGCAGGCAAACACAGGCGUGACAGUGUGGCGGGAAGGAAGGGGAGCCGAGGGUGGCUAAUAUUUAAUUUCAGGUCUGUGGUUUUCUAAUUCGAGAUUAAAAGCAGUCACGUCUUUGAAGCCAGACACUUGGUGUAAAUGUACAGUUAAAAUAUUCUAUUCCACAGUCCCCAGACAGAGCUCUGCUACUCCCAGGCUUCAUUAAAUUUUAAUUAUCAUCCCAGACUGGAGCAAGGAAAGAGGGGGAAGACUGUCCACCUAAUUGCAAUUGAUAAAGGCAAAGAAGCCGAGAUAUUUUUCCUCGCCGUGCACGCACAGCAGUUGUUUUUGUUGUUGUUGUUGUUUUAAUGCGGGCAAAGCCCGGCGAGAGCAGCGUGAGCAUCUCC